GAUGAACGCUGGCGGCGUGCCUAAUACAUGCAAGUCGAGCGGACAGACGAGGCGCUUGCUCCUCUGACGUUAGCGGCGGACGGGUGAGUAACGCGUGUAUAACCUCCCUAUAAGACUGGUAUAACUUCGGGACACCGGAUCUUAUCCCGGAGAAUAUAUUGCACCGCAGGGGGCAUUAGUGAGAGACGGUGUUGCUGUAACGUAUCGAUGGUUCCGCGCCGCAUUAGGUAGUUGUUAAGGUAACGGCUUACCACGGCUACGAUGCGUAGCCGAGCGGAGAGGGUGAUAGCCCGCACGGGAACUGAGACACGGUCCAGACGCCUAAGGGAGGCAGCAGUCGGGAACGGGACGCAAUGGGGGAAAGCCUGACGGAGCAAGGCCAAGUGAGUGAUGAAGGUCUUCGGAUCGGAAAACUCUGUUACUAGGGAAGAACAAAUGUGUACGUAACUAUGCACGUCUUGACGGUACUGAAUCAGAAAGCAACGGCUAACUACGUG
rnacentral:rRNA from 1 species